CUUUAUUUAUUAAAUUAAUGUUAUAAAACUUUUUUCAAUUGAUUAUAUUUUCAAGUGUGAAUGUCCUUAAAUAACAACAAUCAUAAAUUAAAGGUUUUGAACCAAUUCUCUCACUUUCUUACAUGGCGACAGAAUACUCUUCAUCAUCGUCAAGUUCAAUAAAGGUAAGUCUCUCUCUUCAAUUUCAUUUAGGCAAGUUUCUAUGUUGCUACUGAUGUUGAAUUGAAGUUGUUUUUUCCCCAAUUGAAGUUUCUAUGUUGCUACUGAUGUUUCUAUGUUUUUUUUCCAUUAAAUUUUGUUUAGUGUUUUUUAACUUUGUUUUAGUUGUUUAGUUAUUGUCGGUGUGUUAUCAUCGGAUUGAAAUUGCUUUGUUUGUCAAUUGAUUAUCCUGAAUAUCAGAUAUGUUUUAAGUUUUAGUGUUUGCUUUAGUUUUGUUUCAUUCUUCCAAUGUUUCAAUUAUGUAGUGAUUAUCUUGUGAUAUUGAAUUUAAGUUGUUUUGUUUUUCAAUUGAUUGUACUCUAUCCAAUAUCCAAUAUUAUAGAUGAAUUAAAUUUCCUUAGUGACUUUUUUAGUGUUGCAUAUCUGUCUUGUUUGAAUAUUUUUACCAUGUUAAAACCCUAAAUAGUUCUGCAUCUUUAGUUAAUUUUGUUUUCUAGGAUACAAAAGAGAAGCAGUCUCUUAAGCUUGUUGCAAGCUUAAAAACGCUUGUGGACCUUGAGUUAAGUUUUGAAAAAAGGGCUGUAAUGGAAAAAUCCGUUUUCUACAAUUUCUUACGAAUUAGCAAUAGAAGAGAGAGCUCUGCCUCUUUAAUUUCCCUUUUCUGUAAAGUUUAUGACCCGAAAAAAAAUAGUUUUGUGUUCAACAAUGAUGUGUCCUUUUCUUUUUGUGCUGAAGAGGUCGCUCAAGUCCUCGGUAUUAAAAAUACCGGGACUAGUUUAGUAUACACUGCUGCAAAAAAAAUUAUGACUUUCUUUUUGACUUGAAAGAAAAAUUUGAUUCGGACGGUUCAAAAAAAAAUUAAGAUAUUUUUGAAAAAAAUGUCCAUAGAUGACGAGCAAAGUCAAUCAAACUUCAAACAACUUCUUUCUUAUUUUUUGAUUGAGCAAUUUCCGUUAUCUCCCUUAAUCCCAAGAUGCCGCGUGUAUCGUCUUGGGGAAUGGUAGAAGACAUGAAUACAUUUGAAGAGGUUAACUGGACAAAAAUCAUUUUUGAUAACAUUUGUGAAUCUUUCCGUAAACUGAAGGCUGCGAUGAAUGAGGAUGGUAAGCAACACUACUUUAAUGGGUGUGCUCCUGUCUUUGAGGUAAUAAUUUCAAUUUAAUAUCCUAUUUUUUUAAUAUAUGAUAUUUCUCAUAUCGUUUAUUUCCGCUAUUAAUAUUUGACAACAUCACUGUUACGCCAAACCCUGGUUUUGCUUAUCUUCCAAUCGAAAGCUACAUGUCUAAAAGGACGGAUUGGAAGGCGUUGGAAAUGCUCGAAGCCUCAAAGGUACAUUUUUUUUUGCAUUCUAUUCAUGCAUAACUAACUUAUAAAAUUAUGUUUUAUGGUAUCAUAGAAGGACUAGAAAAAGUUGUUAUCAUUGUAUCAACUGUUCGAUCAGCCAUCAAACACAAUGAGUUGACAGAGUCCACUGUCUUGGCUUUUUCAGUCAUAGAAGGCUGAGGUGGAGACAGAGCUAACUUCCUUCGGUUUUUAGGCUGAGCAAGUGCAUCACCCAAGGAUAAAGAGACAACAUUCUCCGUCAAACUUUCAUUCUCCUCCGCCUCGGCCGCCACAUCCUUCGUCAAACUUUCAUUCUUCUCCGUCUCGGCCGCCACAUCCUUCGUCAAACUUUUAUUCUCCUCCGUCUCGGCUGCCACACACCAUGGACAUGGUAUAAUCUGAAAAAUGAAAGGAAAAAAAUUGAUAAAUAGAAUAUGUCAAUUCUUAACCAGAACCAGUGGCUCUAUUCAAUGAGCGGUUAUACAUUUCAAAGGAUGUUCUAGUUUUCUUUUAGGCCUAAGAUGAUUGGGCCUAUAUGUUAGGAACCCGAAAAACCACAAGUUACAGAGGCAAUAUGGAAAUAGUGUAUUAUUUCUGAAACCGAAAGGUAAAUGCAAGAGGAUGAAUAUCCUAAUGCCCUACAGAGGCAAAAAUCAAACUGUCCAAAACAAACUAUAAACUUCCAUAACAAUCUCACACUCCCUCACCUCACUCUAUAUACUACUAAGAAGCAUAACAAACUUGCCAACUAAGCUGCCUACCCCACUCAUUAUUUACCAUAUAACUAUUUUCCUAUAUCUCUCAUACUCGGAUCUCUAUCACUAUACAUACAUAUAAGGUACCUAACAAAAUGGAUUCAUCGAACGGUUGAUACAAUGAUAAGAGUGCAAAAAAAUACCUCGGAGGCUUCGAUAGUUUCUAACGGUUUCCAAUCCUUCCUUUUAGCCUCAUAUUUUUGAAUUGGCGGAUAAGGAAAAGGCGAUGGCUUUGGCUUUAAGGACGGUAUUCUCUCAAACACAACCGUCUAACAUUAGUUAAGUAAAAUAUGUUAAAAUAAGUGUGAAUGCUUGAUGUUGCUGUUAUUGAAUUUUUGGUGUUAAUAUGAUGAUGAGUUUGGUGUU